rnacentral:rRNA from 1 species
UACGGAGGGGGCUAGCGUUGUUCGGAAUUACUGGGCGUAAAGCGCACGUAGGCGGCUUUGCAAGUUAGAGGUGAAAGCCCGGAGCUUAACUCCGGAAUUGCCUUUAAAACUGCAUCGCUAGAAUUGUGGAGGGGUGAGUGGAAUUCCGAGUGUAGAGGUGAAAUUCGUAGAUAUUCGGAAGAACACCAGUGGCGAAGGCGACUCACUGGACACAUAUUGACGCUGAGGUGCGAAAGCGUGGGGAGCAAACAGG